AGUGAACGCUGGCGGUAGGCCUAACACAUGCAAGUCGAACGGCAGCACAGUAAGAGCUUGCUCUUACGGGUGGCGAGUGGCGGACGGGUGAGGAAUACAUCGGAAUCUACUUUUUCGUGGGGGAUAACGUAGGGAAACUUACGCUAAUACCGCAUACGACCUACGGGUGAAAGCAGGGGAUCUUCGGACCUUGCGCGAUUGAAUGAGCCGAUGUCGGAUUAGCUAGUUGGCGGGGUAAAGGCCCACCAAGGCGACGAUCCGUAGCUGGUCUGAGAGGAUGAUCAGCCACACUGGAACGGAGACACGGUCCAGACUCCUACGGGAGGCAGCAGUGGGGAAUAUUGGACAAUGGGCGCAAGCCUGAUCCAGCCGUACCGCGUGGGUGAAGAAGGCCUUCGGGUUGUAAAGCCCUUUUGUUGGGAAAGAAAAGCAGCAGGUUAAUACCCCGCUGUUCUGACGGUACCCAAAGAAUAAGCACCGGCUAACUUCGUG
rnacentral:rRNA from 1 species